rnacentral:rRNA from 1 species
CAGCUCGUCAUGCUAGAGCACUUUUUCAAUGGGCUCCCCAACAACAAGGCGACGACGCAUUCGUAUGUCAUCCAUAUCAACUUUUGAUACAACUUUCUGUGCCUACCAUGGUGACCACGAGUAAUGGGGAAUCAGGGAUCGAUUCCUGAGAGGAUGCCUGAGAAACGGCUACCACAUGCAAGGAAGGCAGCAGGCGCGCAAAUGACCCACUCCCGACGUGGAAAGGUAGUGA